UACGGGGGGGGCAAGCGUUGUUCGGAAUUACUGGGCGUAAAGGGCGCGUAGGCGGUACUUCAAGUCAGGCGUGAAAUCUCCGGGCUUAACUCGGAACGGUCAGCUGAUACUGCUUUGCUAGAGUGCAGAAGGGGCAAUCGGAAUUCUUGGUGUAGCGGUGAAAUGCGUAGAUAUCAAGAGGAACACCUGAGGUGAAGACGGGUUGCUGGGCUGACACUGACGCUGAGGCGCGAAAGCUAGGGUAGCAAACGGG
rnacentral:rRNA from 1 species